CGUUCCCUUUGUCAUUUCCCACACGCAACCGAACAGAGUCGAGAGAGAGGGAGAGAGGGAUCCAUGGCGACUUGGAGCUCUCCUAUCCGGCGGCUUAGUUCACUAGGGUGGUCGUCAGGCGUCCGACGUUCUUCCUCCAGCUGCCCCCUGGCUGUCCCCGCACGGAAGUCUGCAGCAUCUCUCGAGCACCGCACCCACCUGGCCCCCAAUUUUCCCCCGCCGGCAUUUCUGGCCUGAUCCUGUGAUUUGCUAGGUAUUUCAAUUUGGACACGCUGAAAUCAUGUUCAGUGAGUUCAAUCCCCUGGAACACGCUGGAUUCUCUAGUGUUUUAUAUACCCUGUGCCGUUUGCUGAUGUAGGUUUGUAUGUAUUGUUUCAUUGCCUAUCUAUCACUAUGAGAUUGCUAUAGAUUGUCCAUGUCCUGAUUGCCUGGUUUAAUGGGGGAUUGCUUUGGCUAUUUGUUAGUGUAAUUUUAGUGUUUUGUAAGUCAAUUUACACUGCAUUUUUUACUGUAAUUCUUUGCUGAUUUACAUUGCAUUAGUGGAUUUACUGUGUAUUUUUCAGUGGAUUUGCACUGUAAUCCUUAGUGGAAUUACAGUGUAUUUUCUUAGUGGAUUUACACUGUAAUUCUAUUUUGGAAAUACACUGUAAUUGUUACUGGAUUUUUAGUGGCUUUUACAGUGUAAUUCUCAGUGGAUUUACAAAAUGUAAUAGUUGUUUUUACAACGUAAUUUUCAGUGGAUCGGCACUGUAAUUCUUGAUUGAUCUUGUAAUUCGUUAGUGGAGUUACAGUGUAAGUCUCAGUUAAUUUACAGUGUAAUUCCUAGUGCUUUUUCGACUGUAUUUAGUUGAUUUUUACAGCGUAAUUUUUCAGUGGAUUUACACUGUAAUUUCUAGUGCAUUUUCUUAGUGGAUUCACAAAUGUAAUACUGCAUUUGCUAGUGGUUUUUACAGCGUAAUCUUCAGUGGACAGACACUGUAAUUCUUGAGUGCUCUUGUAAUGCAAUUCUUUAGUGGAUUUACAGUGUAAGUCUCACUUGAUUUACAGUGUAUUUCCUAGUGUUUUUGGACUGUAUUUAGAUGAUUUUUACAGUGUAAUUCGUCAGUGGAUUUACACUGUAAUUCUUAGUGCAUUUUGCAAUGUAUUAGUUGAUUCCAAGUGGAUUUUUACAGUGUAAAUCUCAGUGUAGUCACGCCGUAAUUCUUUUGUGGUUUUACUCUGUAAACUCUUACUGCCAUGGUACUGUAUUUACUUAUCUUAUCGGUGAUUUUUACACUGGUUCAUAUU